AACCUAGCACACCUGCGGUGUGUACCUGCGGAGGGAUCAUUACCUAGAGUUGUAGGCUUUGCCUGCUAUCUCUUACCCAUGUCUUUUGGGUACCUUACGUUUCCUCGGUGGGCUCGCCCACCGAUUGGACAAAUUUAAACCCUUUGCAGUUGAAAUCAGCGUCUGAAAAAACUUAAUAGUUACAACUUUCAGCAACGGAUCU
rnacentral:misc_RNA from 1 species